rnacentral:misc_RNA from 1 species
CACGACCUGGGCUUCAAUCGGAUUCUCUAUUUUCCUCUCCAAUCAUGGCGUCCACUGAUGUUCUUAAACGAGAAGCGAAUCGCUUCACUUUUUCUCCUCUCAACGAUCCACUCAAUGGUGAUACGGAUUCUCGGGGUAUGUCAAUCGAGAAGAAGAUAGAAUUUUUGGAGAGCUUGACUGGGAAGGUUACCAAUAGGAAGUCUCGCAGAUGGUUAAAUGAUCGUCUUUUGAUGGAGCUUGUUCCUCGUUUGAAUGCUGAAGAAAUUAGAGGCUUGUUUGCUCCACCACCUUGGGGUGAUGAUGUACGGCCCACAACAUUCUCCAUGAUUGAUGCAGGAGACUGGGAUAAGUUCAGGAGUAUUGACAUGGAUAAAGAGGCUAAGAUCAUUGGAGUCUUCGAGAACUCAUCUGCUAAGAGAAAGGGUCAUAUUGAUGCAGACAAAAUGGCUUUCUUGAAUGCCUGGCGCAGAAUUGAGUGUCGAACGAGAGAGGCACUUCGCCGUAGUUUUCUUCCAGAGCUUGUUGAAGGUUUUGAGGAGUGCAUAAGAUCAUUCAUUUCAGAAACUGGUAAAGAAGAUGUCUUAACUUUGCGGGUUCAAGAUCCUUUUCACAGAUUAUUGCUACAUGGAGUUUGUGAGUUCUACAAUUUGGACUCGGUGACUGUCCCGGAGUCAAAGAACGGUGGCUCCAUAAAGAUGACUCGUAUAACAAGGAAGAAGAAGUCCAUGACUAAGGUCCCGAAUAUAACCCUGACCCAUUUCCUUAAAAUGUCCAAAGAAGGAACAUGGUAACUUCAAUUAAUUAGAUGA